rnacentral:rRNA from 1 species
UACGUAGGGGGCAAGCGUUGUCCGGAAUCAUUGGGCGUAAAGCGCGUGUAGGCGGCCCGGUAAGUCCGCUGUGAAAGUCCAGGGCUCAACCCUGGGAUGCCGGUGGAUACUGUCGGGCUCGAGUCCGGAAGAGGCGAGUGGAAUUCCUGGUGUAGCGGUGAAAUGCGCAGAUAUCAGGAGGAACACCGAUGGCGAAGGCGGGAUCUCUGGGCCGAUACUGACGCUGAGGAGCGAAAGCGUGGGGAGCGAACAGGA